AGUGAACGCUGGCGGCGUGCCUAAUACAUGCAAGUCGAACGGAGUGGCGCACGGGUGCGUAAUGUAUAGCUAAUCUGCCCUACACUAGAGGACAACAGUUGGAAACGGCUGCUAAUACUCUAUAGUUUAGGAUGAGGCUAUAUUGUAUCAGCUCGUAGGUUGGGUAACGGCUCACCUAGGCGACGAUCCCUAGCUGGUCUGAGAGGAUGACCAGUCAAACUGGAACUGAGAAACGGUCCAGACUCAUACGGGAGGAAGCAGUAGGGAAUAUUGCUAAAUGGGGGAAACCCUGAAGCAGCAACGCCGCGUGGAGGAUGACACUUUUCGGAGCGUAAACUCCUUUUGUUAGGGAAGAAAAGGGGCAUGUUAAUACCGUGCUCUGAGGACGGUACCUGAAGAAUAAGCACCGGCUAACUACGUGCCAGCAGCCGCGGUAAUUC
rnacentral:rRNA from 1 species